rnacentral:misc_RNA from 1 species
CACAUUCACUGUUGCCCAUUGCAGAAGGUUGUUCAUCCUAUACAUGAUCAGACCUUUUAUUUGACUCUAGAGCAUAAGAGGAAGCUGAAAGAGGAAUAUGCUAUUGAGCCAUGGACAUUUGUCCAGAAGCUUGGAGAUGCGGUCUUUAUUCCUGCAGGUUGUCCUCAUCAAGUGAGAAACUUGAAGUCAUGUAUAAAGGUAGCAUUGGACUUUGUUUCACCGGAAAACGUUGGUGAGUGUAUCCGUUUGACAGAGGAAUUCCGUUUACUUCCCCCAAAUCAUUGGGCUAAAGAAGACAAGUUGGAGGUGAAGAAAAUGUGUCUUCAUGCUAUGAAUUGGGCUGUGGAAGUUUUGGAUCACGGUGGAGAGCGUCAGAGAACAGAGGAAGAUGAGGAAAAGCAAACUGCAAAGAAACAGAGACG